rnacentral:rRNA from 1 species
AUUGAACGCUGGCGGCAUGCCUUACACAUGCAAGUCGAACGGUAACGGGCCUUCGGGUGCCGACGAGUGGCGAACGGGUGAGUAAUACAUCGGAACGUGCCCGAUCGUGGGGGAUAACGAGGCGAAAGCUUUGCUAAUACCGCAUACGAUCUACGGAUGAAAGCAGGGGACCGCAAGGCCUUGCGCGGACGGAGCGGCCGAUGGCAGAUUAGGUAGUUGGUGGGAUAAAAGCUUACCAAGCCGACGAUCUGUAGCUGGUCUGAGAGGAUGAUCAGCCACACUGGGACUGAGACACGGCCCAGACUCCUACGGGAGGCAGCAGUGGGGAAUUUUGGACAAUGGGCGCAAGCCUGAUCCAUCCAUGCCGCGUGCAGGAUGAAGGCCUUCGGGUUGUAAACUGCUUUUGUACGGAACGAAAAGCCUUCUUUUAAUACAGGAGGGUCAUGACGGUACCGUAAGAAUAAGCACCGGCUAACUACGUG